CACAAUAAACAUAUGAAGGCCUGCACCGCCAAACAGGCGGCAAGGCUGGAGGUAUUUAUUACCCUUGUCUUUUGCGCCACUUGUUGUUUUCCUGGGCGGGUUUCGCCCGGCCCUCCAGGACCACAUGAUAAAACCUUUUUUUAUGCAGUUGCAAAUCAGCCGUCAGUACAACAAAUGUAAAUCAUUUA
rnacentral:misc_RNA from 1 species